UACGUAGGGUGCAAGCGUUAAUCGGAAUUACUGGGCGUAAAGCGUGCGCAGGCGGCUUUGCAAGACAGAUGUGAAAUCCCCGGGCUUAACCUGGGAACUGCAUUUGUGACUGCAUGGCUGGAGUACGGCAGAGGGGGAUGGAAUUCCGCGUGUAGCAGUGAAAUGCGUAGAUAUGCGGAGGAACACCGAUGGCGAAGGCAGUCCCCUGGGCCUGUACUGACGCUCAUGCACGAAAGCGUGGGGAGCAAACAGG
rnacentral:rRNA from 1 species